AUGAGGAAGUCCAAGGCGGCUGCGGCGGCGGCGAAGCAGCCGCACCACGCGGCGCAGAACGGCCACGCCCUCCCCUCCAGGCUCGCCCGGUACCUCGACCCCGACGCGUCCUUGGACAAGGACCAGCUGCUGGACGCGGUGCACUGGAUCCGGCAGGCGGUGGGGCUCGCCUGCGGCUUGCUCUGGGGCGCCGUCCCCCUCGUCGGCGUCUUCUGGAUCGCCCUAUUCUUUACAAUUUCCACCGUCAUAGUUCAUUUGUACUAUGCGCAUUUGCUGAAGAUUGAUGAGGAAGACUUUGGAGGCCAUGCCGCCCUACUUCAGGAGGGGCUCUUUGCUUCGUUCACCCUUUUCCUUCUUUCAUGGACUCUAGUAUACAGCUUGGCUCACUUCUGA
rnacentral:rRNA from 1 species